AAGGUCACCUCUGCAGCAUAGAUAUUACAUUUGGAACCACACAGAGAACACUAGCAUAGCCCCUGCCCAAGGAUGACAUGGAAAUUCACGAAUCAUUCCAUAUUUUU